CUUACCAUGCAGUCGAACGAUGAUGCCCAGCUUGCUGGGCGGAUUAGUGGCGAACGGGUGAGUAAUACGUGAGUAACCUGCCCUUGACUCUGGGAUAAGCCUGGGAAACUGGGUCUAAUACUGGAUACUACCUCUUACCGCAUGGUGGGUGGUGGAAAGGGUUUUACUGGUUUUGGAUGGGCUCACGGCCUAUCAGCUUGUUGGUGGGGUAAUGGCUCACCAAGGCGACGACGGGUAGCCGGCCUGAGAGGGUGACCGGCCACACUGGGACUGAGACACGGCCCAGACUCCUACGGGAGGCAGCAGUGGGGAAUAUUGCACAAUGGGCGGAAGCCUGAUGCAGCGACGCCGCGUGAGGGAUGACGGCCUUCGGGUUGUAAACCUCUUUCAGUAGGGAAGAAGCGAGAGUGACGGUACCUGCAGAAGAAGCGCCGGCUAACUACGUGCCAGCAGCCGCGGUAAUACGUAGGGCGCAAGCGUUGUCCGGAAUUAUUGGGCGUAAAGAGCUCGUAGGCGGUUUGUCGCGUCUGCUGUGAAAGCCCGGGGCUCAACCCCGGGUCUGCAGUGGGUACGGGCAGACUAGAGUGCAGUAGGGGAGACUGGAAUUCCUGGUGUAGCGGUGAAAUGCGCAGAUAUCAGGAGGAACACCGAUGGCGAAGGCAGGUCUCUGGGCUGUUACUGACGCUGAGGAGCGAAAGCAUGGGGAGCGAACAGGAUUAGAUACCCUGGUAGUCCAUGCCGUAAACGUUGGGCACUAGGUGUGGGGGACAUUCCACGUUUUCCGCGCCGUAGCUAACGCAUUAAGUGCCCCGCCUGGGGAGUACGGCCGCAAGGCUAAAACUCAAAGGAAUUGACGGGGGCCCGCACAAGCGGCGGAGCAUGCGGAUUAAUUCGAUGCAACGCGAAGAACCUUACCAAGGCUUGACAUUCACCGGACCGCCCCAGAGAUGGGGUUUCCCUUCGGGGCUGGUGGACAGGUGGUGCAUGGUUGUCGUCAGCUCGUGUCGUGAGAUGUUGGGUUAAGUCCCGCAACGAGCGCAACCCUCGUUCUAUGUUGCCAGCACGUGAUGGUGGGGACUCAUAGGAGACUGCCGGGGUCAACUCGGAGGAAGGUGGGGAUGACGUCAAAUCAUCAUGCCCCUUAUGUCUUGGGCUUCACGCAUGCUACAAUGGCCGGUACAAAGGGUUGCGAUACUGUGAGGUGGAGCUAAUCCCAAAAAGCCGGUCUCAGUUCGGAUUGAGGUCUGCAACUCGACCUCAUGAAGUCGGAGUCGCUAGUAAUCGCAGAUCAGCAACGCUGCGGUGAAUACGUUCCCGGGCCUUGUACACACCGCCCGUCAAGUCACGAAAGUUGGUAACACCCGAAGCCGGUGGCCUAACCCCUUGUGGGAGGAGCCGU
rnacentral:rRNA from 1 species